rnacentral:rRNA from 1 species
UACGGAGGAUGCGAGCGUUAUCCGGAUUUAUUGGGUUUAAAGGGUGCGUAGGCGGGAUGCCAAGUCAGCGGUAAAAAUGCGGUGCUCAACGCCGUCGAGCCGUUGAAACUGGCGUUCUUGAGUGGGCGAGAAGUAUGCGGAAUGCGUGGUGUAGCGGUGAAAUGCAUAGAUAUCACGCAGAACUCCGAUUGCGAAGGCAGCAUACCGGCGCCCUACUGACGCUGAGGCACGAAAGCGUGGGUAUCGAACUGG